GGCUGGGUGGCGUAGUUGGUUAUCGCAUCUGUCUAACACACAGAAGGCCCCAGGUUCGAGCCCUGGUCUAGUCA
rnacentral:tRNA from 1 species